UGACAAAUCAGGAAAGUUCAAUAAUGAGAA
rnacentral:piRNA from 1 species